CUACACACGCUAUUCCGAUCGGGAACAUUGUAUCGGGACUCUAUAAACUUGUAGCGACAUUUCUAUGCUGGACGCUUUUACUAGAGAAGCCUUUAGCGGAAGCGGUUAUUUUAAAUAGCAUUUCUAUCACUUAGGCCUUAUUACCCGACAGGCCUUAUUACCCGCGGGUACCUUACAUAAAAAAA